GGGUCGAAGGUGGACGUCCUGUCUCCAGAUCUUGACAUGAUAUCUAACUUGGGACACCUCCUUAAAAAAAAAGGGAGCACACAUUUCACACAGUCAAUUUCAUAGUCAUUCAUUCCCCGUGACAAAAUGUCCAUCCUAGCGACUUCAGCUGAGCUGAAACUGCUAAUUCUGUGACCAGGCUUCUUUCUCUGGGUGAAUGAAUAUCUCACAGGAGAGGGAGAAAAAAAAGACUCUGUCCCACAAAAUAUUUUUCUCCUCAUCUUUCACAUGCAUGGAUUUAUGAAGGUGGAUGAACAAUGCAAUCUUCAGAUGAUGGCACAAACUUUCUUACCAUUUUAUUGCCUGUGCAGUUGCAUAAGAUGACAUACCAGUACCGUGCUGUCUGCUGUAAUGAAUUGCACGGAUUCUAUCCCAUUAAUACUGUUGAUGCAUUGAAACAAAGAAAUGAUUAUCCACUUGAUAUUACGAUCGUUGGAAAUUAUCAGAUUGUCUUGUUAAUGUCUUGGCAACACUGACAUUUUUGUUAUUAAGACUUUCUCUUUCAAUUGCAUCAGAUGACAUACAUUGUCAGACCAACACUGCUAUAAUGAAUUAGUCUGGCUUAUAUUACACUAACACCAUUGCGGCAUAACACAUAGAAGUUAUUAUCCGACUCCUAUCAGAUUCAUUUAAAAUAAAGCAGAUUGCCUUUAUAAUGGAUCCAAGUACAGGCAAAUAAAAUGGCACACAGAG